rnacentral:rRNA from 1 species
CCUACGGGAGGCAGCAGUGGGGAAUAUUGGGCAAUGGAGGAAACUCUGACCCAGCGACGCCGCGUGCGGGAUGAAGGCCUUCGGGUUGUAAACCGCUUUCAGUAGGGAAGAAGCGAAAGUGACGGUACCUACAAAAGAAGCACCGGCUAACUAUGUGCCUGCAGCCGCGGUAAUACAUAGGGUGCAAGCGUUGUCCGGAAUUAUUGGGCGUAAAGAGCUCGUAGGUCGUUUGUUACGUCGGAUGUGAAAACCUGAGGCUCAACCUCAGGCCUGCAUUCGAUACGGGCAAACUAGAGUUUGGUAGGGGAGACUGGAAUUCCUGGUGUAGCGGUGGAAUGCGCAGAUAUCAGGAGGAACACCAAUGGCGAAGGCAGGUCUCUGGGCCAAUACUGACACUGAGGAGCGAAAGUCUGGGGAGCGAACAGGAUUAGAUACCCUGGUAGUCCAGACCGUAAACGGUGGGCACUAGUUGUGGGAACCUUCCACGGUUUCUGCGACGCAGCUAACGCAUUAAGUGCCCCGCCUGGGGAGUACGAUCGCAAGAUUAAAACUCAAAGGAAUUGACGG